CGAGAAUUGAUAUCGUAUAAGAUUAAGUAUUAUGUUGUUCAUUUGGUAACAGGUAUGCAAUGAAAACAUGCCAUAAUAGGCAACAGUUACGCUCGACCUUCUCCGAUCUUAGCCAUAUAACAACUGAUUCGUUUCUUCUUCUUUAUUCUCUGAUACGAUUAUUCUCUUUUUUUUUUUUCAAUGAUAUGACGUGUCAAUAUGUAGUAAAGUUACUCUCAGGGAGCCGCCAAAGCCAAACCAUAAUCAUCUUAUAGUCAAUAUAAUUUAGCUAUACAACGGUGUAUAUCAAAACUUAUAAAAUACCCAAAACCACUAUGGCGGCUGCCCUGACCCUGCAUUUUGCGCGAUAUUCUUCUUCUCGUGAUAUGCGUUUAGAGCCAGGCUUCUUAUUGGUCAUUGAUUUCAAAC
rnacentral:misc_RNA from 1 species